rnacentral:rRNA from 1 species
CCUACGGGAGGCAGCAGUGGGGGAUAUUGCACAAUGGGGGAAACCCUGAUGCAGCGACGCCGCGUGGGGGAAGAAGUAUUUCGGUAUGUAAAGCCCUAUCAGCAGGGAAGAAGAUAAGACGGUAUAUGAGUAAGACACACCCGCUAAAUACGUGCCAGUAGCCGGGGAAAUACGUAGGGUGCAAGCGUUAGCCGGAUUUACGGGGUGGAAAGGGAGCGCAGGCGGCACGGCAAGUCUGAUGUGAAAGCCCGGGGCCCAACCGCGGGACUGCCGUGGAAACUACAGGGCUGGAGUGCAGGAGAGGUAGGUGGAAUUCCUGGUGUAGCGGUGAAAUGCGUAGAUAUUAGGAGGAACACCCGUGGCGAAGGCGGCCUACUGGACGGUGACUGACGCUGAGGCUCGAAAGCGUGGGGAGCAAACAGGAUUAGAUACCCUGGUAGUC